rnacentral:misc_RNA from 1 species
AACGCACAUUGCGCCCGCUAGUAUUCUAGCAGGCAUGCCUGUCCGAGCGUCGUUUCGACCCUCAGGCCUUUCCUUCUGGUGGCCUGGUGUUGGGGCAUCUACGCCGUAGGCGUAGGCUCCGAAAUUCAGCGGCGGGCCUGCCGAGACCCCGAACGUAGUAAAUCACCUCGUUCUAGGGCGUCCCGGUGGGUGCUCCCAGCCGUUAAACCCCCCAUUUUUACAAGGUCGACCUCGGAUCAGGUAGGAAUACCCGCUGAACUUAA